rnacentral:rRNA from 1 species
UACGUAGGGGGCAAGCGUUGUCCGGAUUUAUUGGGCGUAAAGCGCGUGUAGGCGGCCACGCAGGUCCGCUGUGAAAACUCGAGGCUCAACCUCGAGCUGUCGGUGGAAACCGCGUGGCUAGAGUCCGGAAGAGGGGACUGGAAUUCCCGGUGUAGCGGUGGAAUGCGCAGAUAUCGGGAGGAACACCCGUGGCGAAGGCGGGUCCCUGGGCCGGUACUGACGCUGAGACGCGAAAGCGUGGGGAGCGAACAGG